rnacentral:rRNA from 1 species
AACGAACGCUGGCGGCAUGCCUAAUACAUGCAAGUCGAACGAGAUCUUCGGAUCUAGUGGCGCACGGGUGCGUAACGCGUGGGAAUCUGCCCUUGGGUUCGGAAUAACUUCUGGAAACGGAAGCUAAUACCGGAUGAUGACGUAAGUCCAAAGAUUUAUCGCCCAAGGAUGAGCCCGCGUAGGAUUAGCUAGUUGGUGGGGUAAAGGCCCACCAAGGCGACGAUCCUUAGCUGGUCUGAGAGGAUGAUCAGCCACACUGGGACUGAGACACGGCCCAGACUCCUACGGGAGGCAGCAGUAGGGAAUAUUGGACAAUGGGCGAAAGCCUGAUCCAGCAAUGCCGCGUGAGUGAUGAAGGCCUUAGGGUUGUAAAGCUCUUUUACCCGGGAUGAUAAUGACAGUACCGGGAGAAUAAGCUCCGGCUAACUCCGU